CCAGAACAGAUGCCAACUUCAGGUAAUUAUAAUUGCGAAGAUUUUAACAGCACAUGCAAUGGGGAAUCCAGUUGAAACAUACCAAUCUCCUUCUGGAUUGCAGACAGAGAACAUGCUUUUUCCUCAUUUGAAGUUAAAUGACAGGUUAACAAAUGCUGGAGUUUGACAGCAAAGUAACUGAAAUGCACAGAUAAACUACAGCAUGCAAGAAAUUUCCAUCUCCCACAAAUGGAUUUUUGUAUUGUCGAGCUGAUUAAUGCAUUAUUCGUUGCAAAGAUGGUUUCCAGUUUGACAGUGAACCAGCAAAUGGCUAUUUGUGCCAUCCAACAGGAGUGUGGACUGCAGUGCCUCCAGAAGAAAGUGUUCCUUGGCCUAACUGCACAUUGAAAGAUAAUCAGAAAAAGUCUCCUGAGAUCUACACAGCUCAUGUAGAGGGACGUGGAGCUACAGCUAUGAAAAUUAAAUGGCCAAAGAAAUCAAAACAACCAGAUACGAUUCCUCCAACCAUAACAAAUUGCCCAUGGGACAUUACCAUAACCACCGAGACUGAUCCAGUACAGGUCAGCUGGGAACAACCUGAAAUUAGCGACAACAGUGGGGUGUUUACCUCAGUAGCUUCAAUAUCCAGUGGCUCCUGUUUCCGGUAUGGAACUCAUCAAGUGCAAUACACCGCCCAUGAUGAAGCAGGAAAUGAAGCCUCCUGCCAGUUUAAAGUUACCAUCCAAAAGCCAGAUCUUUCGUGCAACGCCCAACCUCCCACUGAUGGGUCUUUGGCUUGUGGAAUGUUAUCUUAUCCUGGCAGUGGAAUGAACAAAUGGCAGUUUUGUGUACCAUUCUGCAUGAAGAGCACUGGUUUCCAUCGGAGAGCAUGGUCAGUGUUUUUCUGCCAGUCUUCUCAGUCUGGGACAAGUUGGUUUCAUUUGGAUGAAGCCUGGCAAAUGACAAAAGCUCACAUGCCAGAGACUUGCACAGUCAGGCGUCGAACAGGGUCCAGAAAAGGAGAUUCACUACAGUACUAUGAGGGUGACUGCAAUGAACAGGCCGUGAAAAAACACAUCCUAGCAACUGUGGAACACAUUGUAGCCAAAGAUCCCUCUGUUGUUUCUCAGUGCACCAGGCACCGAAACACCUGUGGCAAUUUCAGAAUUUCAGAUCUUUCUGUUCACUGUGGGCCUGGAAACAACCAAAGAGAUACUGGACCACCUGUAGUGAUCUCCUGUCCUCAGAACAUUGAGAUAGAAACCAAAAAAGGAAACCUCUACUGGAAUGACUUGCCUGAAUUCUCUUGGAAGGAGCCUGUGUUUGAAGACAACUCCAGGGGUCCACUGACAAUCACAAAAGGAGGGUCCAAUGUUAAUAAUGGAGACAAACUGGCAUAUGGCCAAUAUUCAGUGGAAUAUAUAGCAACAGAUCUUUCAGGAAACCAAGCCAAAUGUUCCUUUGAGAUCUCUGUGAAAUCAAUUGCAUGCACAAUGGAAUUGCCGGAGCAUGGAGCUAUAGUCUGUGGCUAUCCUUCGGUGGACGGCAUGGACCUCAUGACCAUUGACUGUAUUGUACUGUGUCAAAGCAAAUACCAGUUUAGCAGGGAUCCAUAUCCAAUAUAUGCAUGCUCAGAGGAGGGACUUUGGUGGACCUUCACAAGCACAUUCACGCCUAUUGGCCCAAAUUUGCCAAGUUUAAACCAUAAGUGCCAAGGUAAGAAAGUUUAAAUGAAUGAAAAACUUUGUACCUAAUUAAAAAUUCUUAUUUGCAUGUUAUAUUUUCACCACUUUGAUGAGCCUGAUGGCAUGUAAAUUAUAUUUCAAGGAUUCAUUAAAAGUAAUUUUCCUUUUUUCUAUAAACAACACUUGUCAGAUUUCUCAAAUCAGCACUGAAUUAAACUGAGGUGGGUUGAGUUCAGCUGCUUGAUUUACUUUAUUACAGAUUUAAAAUCUGCUGAGGGAGUAUAGAUAUUUCACAUUAAUUAUGUUGAUGAAGAUCUGUGUUCUGAUUACCAACCCUGAGUCUUUAUACAGAAAAUGGAGACAUAUCAAUGAGAUACCAUACCACUCUCUAACCGGUGAGGGAUUACAGGAAUAAAGCACCAUUGCUUUAUUAACUGAUGACUUUU
rnacentral:lncRNA from 1 species